GAUCUAUUACGCCAUGUGAUAUUGAAAGAAAGCUGGAGAAAGUCCAGACAUUGAGACAGACAAGGAGAGUGUUUGAGAGACGUGAGCAGCAAGAGCAAAUGUCACCAAAUGGAGGGGAGCCUGGUCGCAUUACGCAGCCAUCAGGAUUCAGGUGUCAGAGCCACCCGUUUAUUGACAGCCGAUAUGGUAUGAUGAACCUUCUGGUGGCUGUGUAUGGGAGGGGGUUGAAAAGCAAAUCAGAGAGACUGAUGUGGGAGAUGACAAAUCCAGACGGUGGAGAAGUACUACAUGAGAAAGUGGAAGUACUCAGAGUGAAGAAUAACAGGCCAAACCGUGAGUGAGACUACUGGCUGGACAGAUGGAGUUUCAUCCACAAACAGCAGCCCAUGUGCAGUGUUUACCUGUGUAGAAGACCCAAGGAGACCCACACCUAUUCUACCAGACUAAAGCCGGUUGUCACAGCGACGUCAAACAGAAAGAGAACACCUGCUGCGGCGAUCAUGUUAUGUCAGACACAUGGACACUACAGCAGAAUGACUGAAGACCAGCAGCUUAUAUAUAUCAUCUCAUACAAAUAACGCACUUACCUGAAACAGCCAUUUAGGAUACACAUCCACGAGGAGUAUAUUGCACAAAGGCAAAGACAAAAGCUAAGAUCUUUGUGCAGUAUGCCAGAAAAAGUCUACAGGUUUCAAGGUCAGUGUUAUCAUAAGCUGAAAAGAUCAUGUCUGAGGCGAGGGGCUCUGUUCCAAGAUCCACUCUUUCCUCCUUCAGCCGAGUCGCUCUUCUACAGAAGGACGCCCCCUCCAGGACUGACAUGGAAGAGACCCAGCGAACUGUGUAAAGACCCUCGACUCUUUGUGGAUGGAAUCAGUACAAGGGAUCUGCACCAGGGCAGUCUGGGUAACUGCUGGAUGGUGGCAGCCACAUCGUGUUUGGCUGCAGAAUCCUCGCUCUGGAAGAAGGUGAUCCCAGACCACACUGAACAGGAGUGGCACCCAAAGCGGCCAGAUCUAUAUGCAGGAAUAUUUCACUUUCGUUUCUGGCGACUGGGCCAGUGGACAGAUGUUGUAGUAGAUGAUCGCUUGCCGGUCAGCGGGGAUGGGACGCUGCUCUUCUGUCGGUCUGCAACGCCACGAGAAUUCUGGAGCGCUUUGCUAGAGAAAGCCUAUGCCAAGCUAAAUGGGUGUUAUGAGGCUCUCGAGGGAGGUAAUACAGCAGAAGCUCUAGUUGAUUUUACUGGUGGCGUCUCUGAACCAUUGAGUCUGAAUCAGGAAGAGCUGAUCCAGCACUCUGACCACAGAAAAAUACUGUUCCAGACACUAGCCCAUGCACACAGCCAUAAAGCACUCAUCACCUGCUCAAUUCGGCCUGCAGAAGGGGAGGCUUUAGAAUCAGUUUUGGACUGUGGACUAAUAAAAGGUCAUGCAUAUGGUGUGACUGCUGUCAAAAAACUCCGUAUGUCAGAGACUCUGCAUAGCAUGUGUAAUGCAUCUCGUCUGUACAUGGUGCGAAUAAGGAACCCUUGGGGCACAACAGACUGGACAGGAGCUUGGGGUCUAGGAUCGCCUGAGUGGCAGCAAUUUAACCGUAAAGAAAAAGAGAAGAUGGGCCUUAUUGUCCGGGACGUUGGAGAGUUUUGGAUGGAGUUUGAGGACUUCUGUCGUUACUUUACAGACAUGGUGGUUUGCAGAUUGGCAGAAAAAUCCCUCCUCUGGCCACAAAGCCAUUGGAGAGAAGUAUGCUGCCAUGGAGCCUGGACCUUUACUUCUGGGAUCCCAACUUUUCCCUCAUCUUCUUAUUGCCUGAACAUCAAGAACCAGAGGCCUCCAUCUGGGCUUCAAUGGUCAAAACAAAGGCCAGCUCAAAGACGAGACAAAAAAGAGCAAAGACUCAAUGAAAGACAGAGAGAGGGACGAAUCCAGGGAGAAAAACUGACCAAAAUAGAUAAUGCAGAAAUAAAACCAAAGCAAAUUAGGGAUAGAAAAGAGUGUGUAAAAAAACUGGAAGGAGGCAUGGAGAUGAGAUGGGAGAUGCAAAUUGACAGAAGAACUCGAUGUGGAGGAUGUAUCAAUCAUAGAGACACAUUUCUACACAACCCCCAGUUCCUUUUUGAGCUGUUUGGAGGUGGAGAAGAGGUUUUGAUUUGUCUUCAACAGGAAGACAGGAGGAUGAAACGGAGGGAGGGAAGCGGAGAGAACCUACCAAUUGGCUUUGAAGUGUUAAGGGUGGAGGUGAACCGUGUGUGUCGAGUACAGUGUUUAUGUGAACAGACUGCUAGUUCUGUAUAUAUGGAUUCACGCAGUGUCACACUACGAGUGACUCUUGGUCCUGGUCGUUAUGUUAUCCUCCCUACCACUUUCCAGCCUGGUGCUACUGGGCGGUUCCUUCUGCGUUUUUUCUCACACUCACAUGUGCGCCUCAGGGAAUUGAAGGAAGAGCUUCCUGCUCCUUCAAUGUGGCGGUGUUGUAUACCUGACCCUAGUGCCGUAACUACUGUCCAUCUACUCAAAGCUUCUGGUCUUAGCCAUCACAAAAAAACAGCUCCUGAUGUAUAUGCAAUCAUUCGGUGUGAGGAAGACUCUGUUAGGACUAGAGUGUUCAAGAAAGAUGAAAGCCCUGAAUUCAACACUAAAGCGAUUUUUUACAGCAGGAAGCUGAAGUCAAAAAUCUCCAUUGAGCUGUGGAGAAGAGGAUUGCUGCUGGACACAUUCCUGGGAGGAGCACGUCUUCAGACGGGAGGAAGCGAACGAGGACAAAACAGAGUGAUUGACUUGCAGGGUGGCCAAUCACGUGGCUCUGUUUUUGUAGAGAUCUCCUCCAGUCACUGCCUCACAGACCUGUGACUGACAGGCACCAUGGAUCCAAAGCAAAUGUUCAAUUACGUGAAAUCUCCUCCAAUAACUAGUAUAGCAUGUCUCGUGAUCACAAAACUCCUAUUCCUGGCUCUUCCCAUUGCCCAAAUUGCCAUAGGCGCAGUGUAUCUCCAAGAAUGUCCCCAGCAGAGUUAUAUCCCAGUGUAUGUGCUGGUCACUGGAGUGUUCAGUGUGUUUCUGGCAUUGUUGACAUGUCUGCCCUGUUCUAAAGAGCCAGAGGAGGGAGGCAACAAAGCUUUCGGCAUGGCCUGCAAUGUGUGGAAUGCUCUGGUUUCUACUUUCCUGGUUUGCUGGGUGAUCACUGGCAGUGUGUGGAUUUACUCUAUUUACCCUCCUAAUUACAACACAACUGUGGCUGGAGUUCCCUACUGCGAUAAGACCCUCUACUUGUUUGCAUUCUGGACCACCACCCUGGGCUACAUUCUGAUAGGUUUAGCACUGUUAAUCGGCUGCUGCUUUUGUGUAUGCACUUGCAUUUGUGGCUUAGCCAAAGCUUAAUUAAAUGUGUGGGCCAUUGUAAUGGAUAUAAAUUGCAGAGCUCUUGUUGGUUGGUAAACUAAACUGAACUUGAAUAUGUUUACAACUAUUAUUUAACAGUUAAAAGUCAUUUGGAAGUACUUGGUAUCAUUUUGAGGAUUGAAAUGUAAGACAACUGACGUUAUUAUAUAUUUUUUUGUUUACAAUGAAUGUCAAUUUUGUUUUACUAUUUAAGAUUGUUGAAAGAUUAAUGGAAACUGAAUAAAUGACAUUUUCAUGACUCA